rnacentral:rRNA from 1 species
GAGCCCAGAACCUGAAUCAGCGUAUGUGUUAGUGGAAGCGUCUGGAAAGUCGCACGGUACAGGGUGAUAGUCCCGUACACAAAAAUGCAUAUGUUGUGAGUUCGAUGAGUAGGGCGGGACACGUGACAUCCUGUCUGAAUAUGGGGGGACCAUCCUCCAAGGCUAAAUACUCCUGACUGACCGAUAGUGAACCAGUACCGUGAGGGAAAGGCGAAAAGAACCCCGGCGAGGGGAGUGAAAUAGAACCUGAAACCGUGUACGUACAAGCAGUGGGAGCACCUUCGUGGUGUGACUGCGUACCUUUUGUAUAAUGGGUCAGCGACUUAUAUUUUGUAGCAAGGUUAACCGAAUAGGGGAGCCGUAGGGAAACCGAGUCUUAACUGGGCGAAUAGUUGCAAGGUAUAGACCCGAAACCCGGUGAUCUAGCCAUGGGCAGGUUGAAGGUUGGGUAACACUAACUGGAGGACCGAACCGACUAAUGUUGAAAAAUUAGCGGAUGACUUGUGGCUGGGGGUGAAAGGCCAAUCAAACCGGGAGAUAGCUGGUUCUCCCCGAAAGCUAUUUAGGUAGCGCCUCGUGAACUCAUCUUCGGGGGUAGAGCACUGUUUCGGCUAGGGGGUCAUCCCGACUUACCAAACCGAUGCAAACUCCGAAUACCGAAGAAUGUUAUCACGGGAGACACACGGCGGGUGCUAACGUCCGUCGUGAAGAGGGAAACAACCCAGACCGCCAGCUAAGGUCCCAAAGUCAUGGUUAAGUGGGAAACGAUGUGGGAAGGCAUAGACAGCCAGGAUGUUGGCUUAGAAGCAGCCAUCAUUUAAAGAAAGCGUAAUAGCUCACUGGUCGAGUCGGCCUGCGCGGAAGAUGUAACGGGGCUAAACCAUG